rnacentral:rRNA from 1 species
GACGAACCGUGCGAACGUUAUUCGGAAUCACUGGGCUUAAAGCGCGUGUAGGCGGGACGGCACGUCGGUCGCUGAAAUCCCCCGGCUUAACCGGGGAACUGGCGUCGAUACGACCGUCCUGGAGGGGCGUAGGGGGACCUGGAACUUCCGGUGGAGCGGUGAAAUGCGUUGAGAUCGGAAGGAACGCCCGUGGCGAAAGCGAGGUCCUGGACGCCUACUGACGCUGAGACGCGAAAGCCAGGGGAGCGAACAGG